rnacentral:rRNA from 1 species
AACGAACGCUGGCGGCAUGCCUAACACAUGCAAGUCGAACGAUGGCUUCGGCCAUAGUGGCGCACGGGUGAGUAACACGUGGGAACCUGCCUUUCGGUUCGGAAUAACGUUUGGAAACGAACGCUAACACCGGAUACGUCCUUCGGGAGAAAGUUUACGCCGAAAGAGGGGCCCGCGUCCGAGUAGGUAGUUGGUGGGGUAAUGGCCCACCAAGCCGACGAUCGGUAGCUGGUCUGAGAGGAUGAUCAGCCACACUGGGACUGAGACACGGCCCAGACUCCUACGGGAGGCAGCAGUGGGGAAUAUUGGACAAUGGGCGCGAGCCUGAUCCAGCAAUGCCGCGUGAGUGAUGAAGGCCUUAGGGUUGUAAAGCUCUUUCGCACGUGACGAUGAUGACGGUAGCGUGAGAAGAAGCCCCGGCUAACUUCGUGCCAGCAGCCGCGGUAACAC